CCUACGGGAGGCAGCAGUGGGGAAUAUUGCACAAUGGGGGAAACCCUGAUGCAGCGACGCCGCGUGAGUGAAGAAGUAUUUCGGUACGUAAAGCUCUAUCAGCAGGGAAGAAAAUGACGGUACCUGACUAAGAAGCCCCGGCUAACUACGUGCCAGCAGCCGCGGUAAUACGUAGGGGGCAAGCGUUAUCCGGAUUUACUGGGUGUAAAGGGAGCGUAGACGGCAGCGCAAGUCUGGAGUGAAAUCCCAUGGCUUAACCAUGGAACUGCUUUGGAAACUGUGCAGCUAGAGUGCAGGAGAGGUAAGCGGAAUUCCUAGUGUAGCGGUGAAAUGCGUAGAUAUUAGGAGGAACACUAGUGGCGAAGGCGGCUUACUGGACUGUAACUGACGUUGAGGCUCGAAAGCGUGGGGAGCAAACAGGAUUAGAUACCCGGGUAGUC
rnacentral:rRNA from 1 species